UACGUAGGGCGCAAGCGUUGUCCGGAAUCACUGGGCGUAAAGCGCACGUAGGCGGACUCUUAAGUCGGUGGUGAAAUCCUGGAGCUCAACUCCAGAACUGCCUUCGAUACUGGGAGUCUUGAGUCCGGGAGAGGUGAGUGGAACUGCGAGUGUAGAGGUGAAAUUCGUAGAUAUUCGCAAGAACACCAGUGGCGAAGGCGGCUCACUGGCCCGGUACUGACGCUGAGGUGCGAAAGCGUGGGGAGCAAACAGG
rnacentral:rRNA from 1 species